AAGCAACGGAGCUUAAUUUGUACAGGUAGGUAGAUGUAAUCCUUCAUCUUGUGUAUCCAAAAUGAGCAGAUUUCUGUUGGAGAUUAUUACUUGUUAAUUGGUUAUUUUUGCUUGCACCGUGCAGUUGGCCAUAUCGACUACUGAGAAGGCUCAGUUGGUGUUGGAUGUGAUGUCUUGGUGGGAUAUGUUUUUCUAUUGGAUGCCUACAGUAACUACAGGAUGCAAGAAGAACUUUGCAGGCAGUCCGGGGACUCUAUCACGAGUUGCUCAAUGUAACCUUCGCAAUGGGCGGCGGCUGCAGCACGGUGAAACAAUUCUGGUCCACUCUCUCGAGUGGCUCGACGUGUCCUUCGCAAUCAGUGGAAGCUGCUGCAUGCCAAAAAGAAGACAAGGUCAAGUGGAACUGACUCUGGCGAGGAGUAUAUGUGAAAGAUAGACUUGACUUUACAUUAGGCCAUUGAUCAAAUAACAUCUUCGUUUGGGAGGGGAGCAAUAAUGUGGCUUGGCUGCUCUGAAAGUCACAGAGAAGUACCUGUUGUGUCUACUGGGUCUUUCUCUCUGGAUCUUGCACUAGGGAUCAGUAGGCUUCCAAAGGUUUUACUUUGAAGAUUUGGGUUUGGGUGGCCCAAGAUUUCUACGAUGUUGUUGAUAACGACCAACAUCGGUACAGGAGGAUUUAGUGCUUAUCUCUUCUGAUAAUUGUUCACUCCAGUUAUGAAGUUUCCAUAUUUAGAGGGCUGACUCAGGGUGUUGGAUGCCACUUUUGUUUAUAUCAUUUGCCUCAUCGUCAUUUCUGAAGUUAGAUGUGUUAGCUAUCACCACCAGUACAAUUGGCAUGGUGGCUGCAGAAUCAAGGGCCAUAAGGGAGCCUCGUGUUGUUCAGAAGACAACCAAGGUUGGCAUCUUUUUAAUUCUUAUCGUUGGUGCAAGUAAGGUCAGAAGGAUGCUAAAGGAAAUCCAAAUCCAAGUAGGCAAGCAUGUGGAAAGGGCGUCAUAUGAUGUGAACUCUGUUAUCAUGACAAAGAGGGAAGGGCACAACCAUGAAGUUCGAGCAGCCAGAAAUAGCGGGCAUGUGAGCGAUGGUUCUGGGAGUGCUCUCAGAGGCCAACUGGAGUCAUUCAACUUCCUCUUCAGGAAUGGCAGGCUACGAUCUGCCUUCCCACCUGCAAAUGCAGCAUGGCCAGCUAACCGAUUGAUAAUUUGGUAUAUUACGAGUUAGGCCCAGUUUAUCACUUUCUUCCAGUUUAUGGCCUCUUUGUGAUGCCUUUUUCCUUUGCCUGCUAUAAUUUAUGUGUUAAUACUCUACUGGUUCAUUAUACUCCAAUCUAGAGGUUUUCCAAUA